rnacentral:lncRNA from 1 species
GAAAAAUGCAAUUCAAGAGAACAUUGAAACAAAAAGAACAAGGAUGAAAAGAAUCAUGUAUCCUGAAACAAAAGAAUAACACCAAGAAGAGUUGCAAUUGCAAAGAUCUCACAGUUUUCUUCCUAACAGAAGUCAAUGAGAAUGGCUGGAUGAGAUGAUCUCCAGAGAUCUGUUCUGACCCCUGUUACUCUGCAGUCUCAGGGUGGGGAGUAAGAAGCAGAGGAACGGAAAGGAAGAAAUGGGAAAAGACUGCAUUUGCAUCUCUCUGCAUGCUGACAGAAGGAUCCGGCCAGGCACAACGGGAAUAGAGUUCACUGAAGACAAGGAUUUUUCCCCUCAGAGCCAAGGAUGAAAUGGAGGGUCAAGCAUACAAGAACCGAGCAAGACAAGAUGGAAUAAUUAUUCACAAAUGGACAGAAGAACAUUCCAGGAUUCAUUUCCCAACUUGUGUGGAAUCAGAUGCAGUUGCUGAAGACGAUGUUGUGCUCAGAAAGCUCUUCAGCC